rnacentral:rRNA from 1 species
UACGUAGGGGGCAAGCGUUGUCCGGAAUUAUUGGGCGUAAAGGGCGCGUAGGCGGUUGGAUAAGUCAGCUGUGAAAACCACGAGCUUAACUCGUGGCCUGCAGUUGAGACUGUCUGGCUUGAGUGUGGGAGAGGAGAGUGGAAUUCCUGGUGUAGCGGUGAAAUGCGUAGAUAUCAGGAAGAACACCCGUGGCGAAGGCGGCUCUCUGGGACGGUACUGACGCUGAGACGCGAAAGCGUGGGGAGCGAACAGG